CUCAGCAGCCGCGGUAAUACGAAGGGACCUAGCGUAGUUCGGAAUUACUGGGCGUAAAGCGCGCGUAGGCCGUUGAGUUAGUUAAUUGUGAAAUCCCAAAGCUUAACUUUGGAACUGCAAUUAAAACUGCUCGACUAGAGUUUGAUAGAGGAAAGCGGAAUACAUAGUGUAGAGGUGAAAUUCGUAGAUAUUAUGUAGAACACCAGUUGCGAAGGCGGCUUUCUGGAUCAACACUGACGCUGAGGCGCGAAAGUAUGGGUAGCAAAGAGGAUUAGAUACCCUCGUAGUCCAUACCAUAAACGAUGAUUGCUAGAUGUUGGAAAUUUAUUUUCAGUAUCGCAGCUAACGCAUUAAGCAUCCGCCUGGGGGAGUACGACCGCAAGGUUAAAACUCAAAGGAAAUUGACGG
rnacentral:rRNA from 1 species